rnacentral:lncRNA from 1 species
UAAGAUUCCUACCCAAUUUUAAGCUAAAACGCAUGUAGGCAUUAACUAUAUAUUUUAAUAGGAAAAGGCAUUUUUACCUUUUCCUCUUUUACAGUGUUCGUGGUCAUAGGAAAUAUUUUCACAUCUGAUACCCAAGUGAAUGAACUCAGUAUGUUCACCAGUUACCUUUUGUUUUUUGGGUUUUUUUGGUAGGUUGAAGUAAUUGUCUUUGUUCAUAAUUGGAAGAAGAAUUAGAAGAGUGGGAGACAGUUUUCUGAUGAUAUACUUUUUUUUGUUGUUCUCUUAAAGCAGUUUCAUAUUCAGCAGUGCUUUUAGUUUUUAAACUAUAGUGCCCUUGGUUUUAUAAAAUAAAAUUGUUGUGUUAUCUUUGUACAUAAAUGUCAUAACGUUUUAGAGAGUCUCAGAAAAGGAUUUUUAAAUGGUGUUUCUGAAAUGUUUUAAGUAGUUGUUAUACUUCAAACAUUUUUAUUAAAACAAAACAUCAAUAGGUCAGUGUUCAGAUUUCAUUUCCUUUAUGUAAGGAAUAAACAACAUAUGUUAACCAUAUCUUAUUGAAAAGAUAUUUAAAAUGACUCUAUGGAAACCUUGAAACAUAUUAAAGAAACAGGAUUGAAACUAAUAGUUCCUACUUUUGUAGCAUUUUACAAUCUCCCCCCUCACCAUCUUUGAUAUAUUUUCUAAUUUACAAUGGCUGGAGAACUCUUAACAUUUUAGAAAUUAAAAACUGAUGCCCAAAAA